rnacentral:rRNA from 1 species
UACAGAGGUCUCAAGCGUUGUUCGGAUUCAUUGGGCGUAAAGGGUGUGUAGGUGGCGCCGUAAGUCGGGUGUGAAAUUUCGGAGCUUAACUCCGAAACCGCAUUCGAUACUGCGGUGCUUGAGGACUGGAGAGGAGACUGGAGUUCAUGGUGUAGCAGUGAAAUGCGUAGAGAUCAUGAGGAAGAUCAGUGGCGAAGGCGGGUCUCUGGACAGUUCCUGACACUGAGACACGAAGGCCAGGGGAGCAAACGGG